AUGGUAACUCAAACUUGAAUCAUAUAAAACAUGGGCCAAGGAAAUGAAGCGACAGUGCACAAGGAACCCACAAUGAAGGAGUGGACGUAAUGGACCGCCAGACAUGUGACCCAAGAGAAGUAUUUACAAAACAUUCCAAAAGCAACAGGUUGGGAGUAUUAUUUAUUCAAAUAAACAAAAAUGUUUUAUUUCCCUUUCAAUGGUAUAUAUCUUAAAUUGCUGGAACAUACAAGUAUAAAAAUAAGAUUAUUUUAGAAAACUCCAGUUUUGAAGGGCACGACAAUAGUUCAGACAUUUGUCAGUAGCUAUGAAGCCACUUUUAACAUGGAAUGAAUAUCCCUUUACUCCAACUCUUGGUCUUAUUACAUUUUUAAAUCAAAUCAGCGUGCUGGAAAUAGAGAAAAAUUCCCAAAGGGAAAUAUAAAAUAAUUUUAAGCAUUUUCAGAAAUACAAGUUACACUUAAGAAACUUGUAUUAAAGGAUGUUAAUCUGAGAUAAACAGAAAACAAACGUUUUGCAAAGCACUACUUUUUGCAUCUGUUUGAGGAUACACAGUUUGCAGCUCUCCUGCCAGAAGCAAAAUACUGACUCUAGCACAGCAGAAAAGGCAUCAACUUUAAGAAAAAAAUGAGUGGUCGCUUUCAAUGACUGAACAUAACAUAUUAAACUUUAAGAAUUUUUAACAAUGCAAAUUAACAGCAAUAGUAGAAAAUACAUCAUUUUAGAUUACAAAAAUUCAGCUUUUAUUAGCACAUGACAAAUCUCAUUCAUUCGCUGCCCUCUCAUAUGUGCUGAGUAACUGCUACACAGAAUUUCAAACCUCACUGAUAUAAAUGUGAGAGAUGACAUCUACAAUGAGAAAAAUGAGGGAAAAAAAUCUCGUUUUAUACCACUAGCAACAAAGAACACAAAAUUGUAUUAAAUUUGUUAAGAAAUGUUAUUUUGUGCAAUUUUCAUGAUAGAUUAAUUAGCUUUGUUCACUUUUUUUCCUCCAUCUUAAAAAGAGAUAAUCUUUUAAUGUUUUCUUAACAUUUCAUUCAGGAACACUAAUCUUAGAAAUGCGAGGCUUGUGUAAAAUUUUACUUUAAUAGGCACAAUGUAGCAAGCGAAACCAUACUCAUAUCAGGGAACUUGCAAUGACCUCCACAUACCCAAGGUUUCUAGCCUUUUAUUGAUACCACGAAAGUGACAGCUGUGCCCAACUUACUGAAGUCUAUAUUAUAAAUCUGUCAUUUCUAAUUAUAAAUCUACAUUGGAAAAAAUAUUUUACUCAGAUGGCUAUGUGUGAGGCACACGUGUGUUCUACACAGUUUGGACUUUAUCUGGUUGGUCUUACACAAACAAUUAUCCAUCUGUAAAGGGAACUGCUCACUUCUCAGGGCUGCCCUGAUUCCCAGAGGAGAGACAGAUAUUUUACCAUCACAGCGUUCCCCAAGAUGCUGGCAGAGACACCAGGAUGGCUGCUCUCACAAUAGUGUCCAAGAAGUACCCGAGGCUCAACGGGGCACCCAAGCAUCAGGGACCAGGUACCCGCACGUCGCUCUUGCCGUGGCUGGAUUCAAAUUUAUCAGGAAGCUUUGUGAUGUCUCUUGGCCCAGUCACUACCCACGGUGUGCUUUUUAAGCACACAAGUGUGAUGUAAAAGUUACACAGUACAAUUUAGUUUAGAAGCACUGGACAUCUGUGUGUAAUAGCUGCUGAUAAGAAACCCAGAGGAAGCUCAGGGCAGGGAAGAAAAUACUGGAUUUAUUGCUGGGAGUUACGUAUCCCCAACAGCUGUGAUAGAUUCCAGCCACUGAUGCAACCUGAGGUUCGCUGGCAGCACUAAGCAGCGUGGCUAUGUUCUGCCUUCCACAUUCCGCAGAUGUGGCUAACAGGGUGACACCAAGAGCCCAGGGAGCCUGCUCACGUCUGAAAGCCGUGGUUUCUGCUCUGCAGCCUCACCUGGGGAGCUUACUGAAAUGCAGAUUCUGGAGAAAGAAGCUGUCGGAUGUUCGGAAUGCAUGGGCUGGGCUGGCUCAGCAGAGCUGGCGGAAACGGUGAGGGCCCAGCUGCCGUGCCCCUCAACGACACUGUCAGGUAACUGCUGCCAGGAGCCUUCCAGAUGCUCAGACCCCAGAAGCCACUUUACCGGCCCCCUUUGGCCUCAGUUGCUUGACCCUCCCCUACAAAUUUCCAGGUGCAUGACCUUGAACCUGCCUGUGUCCUGCGUGGGCCUUGAGGCAUCUCUAGUUUGAUUAGGACAGACGUGUUUUACACAUGGCUGUCAAGCAAGUUUCUCUUGGCCUAAUUGUUCCUCUGGCAAAUAAUCAAUCCUGAGAAGUUCCUUUACAAAAUACCUAAAAAGUAGACUGUGCCAAAAACGUGGGGUGAAAUGAGGUGCCCACGCCAUCCUGUACUCUCCAUCCGUUGAAUGAACCAAUCCUUGCUCCGCGUGGGCAACACCCGGGCCACCCAGCCACAGUCUCUCUUUGUCAAAGCUGUCACUUACACAUGACUCCCGCUUGAAUAUUCCUGAAGUUUGGAAUUGGUGGAUCUGCAAAAUAAAUCACAUCUCCAAUGGAUUCAGCCACUUUAAGGGGAAAAGAAAUCUAAGGAUGGCUGGAAUGAAACUGCAUUUUCUUUCCUUUUUUGAGACGGAGUCUUGCUCUGUUGCCCAGGCUGGAGUGCAGUGGCGCAAUCUUGGCUCACUACAACCUCUGCCUCCCCGGUUCAAGCGAUUCUCCUGCCUCAGCCUCCAGAGUAGCUGGGAUUACAGACAGGCAUCACCAUCGUUGGCUAAUUUUUUGUAUUUUUAGUAGAGACGGGGUUUCACCAUGUUGUCCAGGCUGGUCUCAAACUCCUGACCUCAGGUGAUCCACCUGCCUCGGCCUCCCAAAGUGCUGGGAUUACAGGCACGAGCUACCGUGCCUGGCCUAAACUGCAUUUUCUAAAAAAAUAUGUACUGCUUAUUUUGUUAGCAUACUUUUAAUUAUAUUCUUAUUCUUUCUACCCCUCUCAAAAUGUAUUUUUCCAGCUUGCCAUUUAAUUGGUAAACAGCUGUAAAGUUCAAACGUGAAAUUCUUAAAGCUCCCUAGAGACAUACACAAUAACUUCUGUGGCAUGGACUUUUCUCGGCAUUAAAAAAAUCUAGUACCUCUCUUGGCCAGAACCCCUAAUUUUACACUUUAUGGUGUUGCGUCGUUUUUCAAAAAAAACAAAACAACAACCAAAAAACUUACUGGCAAGUUUUUCCUCCAAACAGUUUUCUAAUCAAGUCUAAUAAGUUUGUGCAAGAGAAAACACAUGGGGAUUCCACUCCAUUAUUUGAUUUCCACUAAUCAGGAUAAAGUCUGUGAAAUUCAAUUACUGUUGUUUGUGGAACAGACUGUUGAACAACGAUUUAUUCCCAAUGAUAUCGAGUGGCACUAGUCCAGAACUUAGAACUGAACCACACGUGGCAGCUCCACCAAGCAGGGACAGGGAAAGAGGAAUUUAACAAGUUUGCACCCGGCGUAUUAAAUAAUUAAAUCCCUCUUCACCUCUUAAAUGAAAUGAUGGAAUCCCCAACUCACAAUUGCUUUUCAAAAUCUAUUACCCAAAGCACUGCGGAGUCACUAAUGCUGUCUUCCUGGGAACUACUUUCACAAUUUUGAACAGUAACUGACCCCAAAUUUAUCUCCAACCAAAACCUCUGUGUUUCACCAUGAAUCAGGCAAGGUCCUUCCAAGUGUUCAGAAGUGGAACCUGUUGUGGAAAAACACUCCCCUCGGUCACACACAGGGCAUCUGUUUCUUGAGUGCUAAGUACUUGGUUUUGGUUCAGGAGAAAUACAAAAUAGUGUACAGUAUAUGCUGGGAGAUCGGACACCAAUCACUUGUGGCUCUUUCAAAUUCCCAAGAAUAAAAAUAGAAUUGGUCCCCAUCUUGUUUCUUGCUAUUUUUAAUAAAUGGUUUCAGUUACUGAAGGCAGGAUUUAUUUCAGACUUCCAAAGAAGUUAUCAAGGAAAUAAAGCAGCAUCUAUUCAUUUCCCAUCAGACUUGACAAGGUUUCUGAUAACAACCUAAUGCUAAGUUGCACCUUUUCAGGCAAGGACCGUCUUCCAGAAUUUUCCACAGUGUAUUACAAGGUAAAAAUGACACCCUCAAAGGGUUGUUAAUUCCUUUCCUGUUCCAAGCAAACCUCCUUGAAAGCUUGCCAAGCUAAGCAUCAAUUUGCAUAACUGGAGGAGGUGGGUGUCACUAACAGGGUUUUGACUGGAAGUCCGAUUCUCAGCAGCAAGACAUGCCAGAAAAAUGUCCCACAUUCAAUUGUCUAUCUCAUUCUUGUUGCGAAGUUAUGCUUUUGUAGUUUCAGUAUUUUCAUCAAAAUGUCACAUCCAAUGACAUGCGAUAUGAAAAGAUAAAGAAAUCUGAUAUGAAAUACAGAGCAUGACGGCAAACUUCAUUCACCUACUCUACCUGGAAACCUCACUUGUUACUUUCCUGUAUUUUAAGAACUAUGCCUGUUCAUCUGCUGCAGGAGGAAGCUCCCCGCCUCUGAAACCUAACACAAUACAACGGAACAGAAGAUGCCUGUAUGAAGAAAUAAGCAGGAAAACUAAUCAGGGCAUGUCUGCGAUUCCCUCCUCUUAUUUCAGGGCUUUGAAUUUUUCACAGCAAGGGUGAAGGCACAAUCUAGGGGUGUUGGCUUCACUCCUGUGCAAAGCGGCCCACAAAACAGCAACCACGGAAAAAGCCAAUGGGAUGAGAAUUGGACUUCCAGACAUCUCUCCGUGUGAAAUGCAUUCUGAGAUUAUGAGUUUUCAACAAGCUGAGAGCGGAUGUGACAACGGGCCCUGAUACAAGAGCCCCCUCCUCCCGUUCCGUGCCGUCAUGUUCUUUCCAAGAGGCUGCAACUCAAAUCUUCUCUAGUGAAAACAGCACAGAAGGUUCUUCUGGCUGCUGGAGAGUCUUCCAGGACACCAUGACAAGCCGACGUGGCCUCCACGUCUCUUUGGCAGAGUCCUAUAUUUCUCAGUAUGGUGGUGACCCGGGGACCCAGGGAGCAGAGCAGAUGGCUGAAACAUCCACACGUAGCCUACUGUGAAUACAAACGAUACUUCUGCAGGAGGGGACACUUAGCACUUUUGGUGGAAUUCUGUAAUAUAGCCAACCCACCCCAAAAAAAUGCAAAGGGAACACUGAACUUGGCACACAAGCAGGAGAGAGGGGAUACUGUCUUUUAACUCUUCUCCUAAUGACAUCAGGUCAUAUAAGGCUAUGUCAAGGAAACGGCUUCCACUUUUCUUUGGCAAAGGCCUCGAUAAGUGACAGAAAGUAGGGACUGCCCCCCGAAAUAAGGCUACCACUGCACAACUGUUACCAAAGAUUAAACACCCCCAAAGGAAGAAGCACAGAGGUCAACUGCUGAACAAUUUAAGCUGAUUGGAUGGGUAUGCUUGAGGCUAACCAGUUCUGCAAAGGGAAACACACGGUUUCGAAGCACGGGGAUAAGUAGACGUUACCUUGUGUCUUCUGCACAUCUUGCAUCUUCCUUCCCUGACAGCUGGUCAGAAAUAGGGGCAUCAGGCCAUUUCCCUGUUUCCCAACAGGGUAAUAGCCAACCUACUUCCAGAGAAGAUUUGGAAAAAGAGACAACUAAGCUAGUGAAAUAGAAUAGUUUUUUCUCAUCAAAACAUGAUUUAUUAAUUUUAAGCAAGAGUAAGCAUAUGUGAUAGUGGCCAGCUUGGGGAUAGAACUCU
rnacentral:lncRNA from 10 species